AUUUAAAUAGCUUAUAUAUUAGAGCAUAAUAUCGACGAUAUUCCGGAGAUUAUUAAAUCUUUAAAUC
rnacentral:tRNA from 1 species